AGUGAACGCUGGCGGUAGGCCUAACACAUGCAAGUCGAACGGCAGCACAGUAAGAGCUUGCUCUUACGGGUGGCGAGUGGCGGACGGGUGAGGAAUACAUCGGAAACUACUUUUUCGUGGGGGAUAACGUAGGGAAACUUACGCUAAUACCGCAUACGACCUACGGGUGAAAGCAGGGGAUCUUCGGACCUUGCGCGAUUGAAUGAGCCGAUGUCGGAUUAGCUAGUUGGCGGGGUAAAGGCCCACCAAGGCGACGAUCCGUAGCUGGUCUGAGAGGAUGAUCAGCCACACUAGAACUGAGACACGGUCCAGACUCCUACGGGAGGCAGCAGUGGGGAAUAUUGGACAAUGGGCGCAAGCCUGAUCCAGCCAUACCGCGUGGGUGAAGAAGGCCUUCGGGUUGUAAAGCCCUUUUGUUGGGAAAGAAAAGCAGCAGGUUAAUACCCCGCUGUUCUGACGGUACCCAAAGAAUAAGCACCGGCUAACUUCGUG
rnacentral:rRNA from 1 species